rnacentral:rRNA from 1 species
UGGGGAAUAUUGCACAAUGGGCGAAAGCCUGAUGCAGCAACGCCGCGUGAGUGAUGAAGGUCUUCGGAUUGUAAAGCUCUGUCUUUUGGGACGAUAAUGACGGUACCAAAGGAGGAAGCCACGGCUAACUACGUGCCAGCAGCCGCGGUAAUACGUAGGUGGCGAGCGUUGUCCGGAUUUACUGGGCGUAAAGGGUGCGUAGGCGGAUGUUUAAGUGAGAUGUGAAAUACCCGGGCUUAACUUGGGUGCUGCAUUUCAAACUGGAUAUCUAGAGUGCAGGAGAGGAGAAUGGAAUUCCUAGUGUAGCGGUGAAAUGCGUAGAGAUUAGGAAGAACACCAGUGGCGAAGGCGAUUCUCUGGACUGUAACUGACGCUGAGGCACGAAAGCGUGGGUAGCAAACAGGAUUAGAUACCCUGGUAGUCCACGCCGUAAACGAUGAGUACCAGUGGUAGGUAGGAGUAUCGAC